CAGUCGCCGCGGUAAUACAGAGGGUGCGAGCGUUAAUCGGAUUUACUGGGCGUAAAGCGUGCGUAGGCGGCUUUUUAAGUCGGAUGUGAAAUCCCUGAGCUUAACUUAGGAAUUGCAUUCGAUACUGGGAAGCUAGAGUAUGGGAGAGGAUGGUAGAAUUCCAGGUGUAGCGGUGAAAUGCGUAGAGAUCUGGAGGAAUACCGAUGGCGAAGGCAGCCAUCUGGCCUAAUACUGACGCUGAGGUACGAAAGCAUGGGGAGCAAACAGGAUUAGAUACCCCCGUAGUCCCUGUCUCUAUACA
rnacentral:rRNA from 1 species